AUAUAUACAAUAACGAUGGUAAGGUAAAGGUAGAAGAGCAUUGAUAUCAU
rnacentral:guide_RNA from 1 species